UACGAAGGGGGCUAGCGUUGCUCGGAAUUACUGGGCGUAAAGCGCACGUAGGCGGCCAGUUGCGUCUGCUGUGAAAUCCCGGGGCUCAACCCCGGGCGUGCAGUGGAUACGGGCUGGCUAGAGGCAGGCAGGGGAGAACGGAAUUCCCGGUGUAGCGGUGAAAUGCGCAGAUAUCGGGAGGAACACCGGUGGCGAAGGCGGUUCUCUGGGCCUGUACUGACGCUGAGGAGCGAAAGCGUGGGGAGCGAACAGG
rnacentral:rRNA from 1 species